UGGGGAAUAUUGCGCAAUGGGCGGAAGCCUGACGCAGCAACGCCGCGUGGGGGAACGAAGGCCUUAGGGUUGUAAACCUCUUUCAGCAGGGACGAAGCGUGAGUGACGGUACCUGCAGAAGAAGCACCGGCUAACUACGUGCCAGCAGCCGCGGUAAUACGUAGGGUGCGAGCGUUGUCCGGAUUUAUUGGGCGUAAAGGGCUCGUAGGCGGUCCGUCACGUCGGAAGUGAAACCCCGGGGCUUAACUCCGGGCCUGCUUUCGAUACGGGCGGACUUGAGUUCGGUAGGGGAGACCGGAAUUCCUGGUGUAGCGGUGGAAUGCGCAGAUAUCAGGAGGAACACCGAUGGCGAAGGCAGGUCUCUGGGCCGAUACUGACGCUGAGGAGCGAAAGCGUGGGGAGCGAACAGG
rnacentral:rRNA from 1 species